UUGAGCGGGGGACAACAUUUGGAAACGAAUGCUAAUACCGCAUAAAAACUUUAAACACAAGUUUUAAGUUUGAAAGAUGCAAUUGCAUCACUCAAAGAUGAUCCCGCGUUGUAUUAGCUAGUUGGUGAGGUAAAGGCUCACCAAGGCGAUGAUACAUAGCCGACCUGAGAGGGUGAUCGGCCACAUUGGGACUGAGACACGGCCCAAACUCCUACGGGAGGCAGCAGUAGGGAAUCUUCGGCAAUGGACGAAAGUCUGACCGAGCAACGCCGCGUGAGUGAAGAAGGUUUUCGGAUCGUAAAACUCUGUUGGUAGAGAAGAACGUUGGUGAGGGUGGAAAGCUCAUCAAGUGACGGUAACUACCCAGAAAGGGACGGCUAACUACGUGCCAGCAGCCGCGGUAAUACGUAGGUCCCGAGCGUUGUCCGGAUUUAUUGGGCGUAAAGCGAGCGCAGGUGGUUUAUUAAGUCUGGUGUAAAAGGCAGUGGCUCAACCAUUGUAUGCAUUGGAAACUGGUAGACUUGAGUGCAGGAGAGGAGAGUGGAAUUCCAUGUGUAGCGGUGAAAUGCGUAGAUAUAUGGAGGAACACCGGUGGCGAAAGCGGCUCUCUGGCCUGUAACUGACACUGAGGCUCGAAAGCGUGGGGAGCAAACAGGAUUAGAUACCCUGGUAGUCCACGCCGUAAACGAUGAGUGCUAGAUGUAGGGAGCUAUAAGUUCUCUGUAUCGCAGCU
rnacentral:rRNA from 1 species